UCAUGAUAUCAUUUUAAGUUUGGGGUUGCUUCUGGAAUUAGCAACAUCUUAAGUUUGGGGUAGGGGUACUAGAGAACAAAAAAAAAAUAGUAAUAAUAGAGACUCACAAAAAAAUAAUUGAGUUUCUUAAAAAAAAAAAAAGAAUAAAAAAAGAAUAAAGAGCCAUUAAGCAUGAAAAAUAGUGGCAUCUUCAAAAACAAAAUGAUGAAAAAUAAGUUCUCUAAGUACCUAAUCAACAAUGAAUUGAGCCCCGGUUAUGGUAAUUUUUCGAUAAGGAAUAGUAGUUGAUACCUAACUCCAAUUUAGCCUACUUUUCCCAAAUUUAUCCCACCAUUUACCCAAGCCAAGUUACAACCUUUAAGACCUAAAAAAUGUGUGUCAUGUAUUUACUUUGAUUGACGGUUUAGAAUUUUUUCAAGCUUAUGGUAAAAUAGCAUUUGCAUGUUGAUGGAGUGAAUACCCUGUCAAAAUUGAGUGAAUUAGUGAGUGAGAGNNNNNNNNNNNUGAUUGAGCAGGAUCACUGAAGUUAAGACCGGUGGUUCUAUUGCCGGAUGAAGAGAAAAAGUUUUUGAGAUUUUUAUCAUUCAAAUUAAUUUGUUAAUUCACUGACAGUUUUGUUUCGACAGACAUGUUACUUGAGGACAAGCAACAAUUCAAGUUUGGGGUUGUGAUGACAUUUGGUCAUUUGAGUAUUUUUAAUUAUUAUUUCAUAGUAUUUUAAUUAAUUUUUAGGAAUAUUACAUGUUCAAAGAGAAGAAUUUAUGAAGAAAUUGAGCUAUGAAAGAGUUUGAAGAAUAAAGACUAAGGGAAGAAAAACUUAGAAAAAUAUUCAAUAUAUUGAGCUGAUUUUCGCCCAACUCUCUGCUUUUCUCGCGUCCCCACAAGAAUUUCAUAGUGACGCGAUUUGCCACUUUCCUGCCCACUUGAAUUAUGCUGCACAUGCACAUCUCAAGCUUACACGUCAUAUAAAAAGGAAGAUUGAUUGAAUUGCUCUAGUGGGACCCGCCAGUCAAACAAGUGAUGGUUUGUUUUGCUAGUGGUACGAUUUGUCUCUCCGGAAGCAUAUAAAUAGGGGAUUAUUUUCAUUAACCUAAAAAAAUCACGCACGCCGAGAGAAGAAGUUACACAGUACGAGAGACUGACGGCUUGCACAGCGGAGCAACUAAUUGGUGAUUCAAGUCAUUCAACCGCAAUUUUAUGUGUAAUUUUGAAUACUAUUUUUAUCUCUGAUCAAUAUUAUGAGUAGCUAAUUUAUCAAUUGUUAGGGAUGAGUAAACCUAGAUGACUAUUCUUAUUUUAUGAUUUGAUUUAUGAUUAUUG
rnacentral:lncRNA from 1 species